rnacentral:rRNA from 1 species
CAGUAGCCGCGGGAACACGAAGGGUGCAAGCGUUAAUCGGAAUUACUGGGCGUAAAGCGUGCGUAGGCGGUUUGUUAAGUCUGCUGUGAAAUCCCCGGGCUCAACCUGGGAAUGGCAGUGGAUACUGGCAAGCUAGAGUGUGUCAGAGGAUGGUGGAAUUCCCGGUGUAGCGGUGAAAUGCGUAGAGAUCGGGAGGAACAUCAGUGGCGAAGGCGGCCAUCUGGGACAACACUGACGCUGAGGCACGAAAGCGUGGGGAGCAAACAGGAUUAGAUACCCGCGUAGUCCCUGUCUCUUAUAC